GACGAACGCUGGCGGCGUGCCUAAUACAUGCAAGUAAAACGCUGAAGAGAGGAGCUUACUCUUCUUGGAUGAGUUGCGAACGGGUGAGUAACGCGUAGGUAACCUGCCUUGUAGCGGGGGAUAACUAUUGGAAACGAUAGCUAAUACCGCAUAACAAUGGAUGACACAUGCCAUUUAUUUGAAAGGGGCAAUUGCUCCACUACAAGAUGGACCUGCGUUGUAUUAGCUAGUAGGUGAGGUAAUGGCUCACCUAGGCGACGAUACAUAGCCGACCUGAGAGGGUGAUCGGCCACACUGGGACUGAGACGCGGCCCAGACUCCUACGGGAGGCAGCAGUAGGGAAUCUUCGGCAAUGGGGGCAACCCUGACCGAGCAACGCCGCGUGAGUGAAGAAGGUUUUCGGAUCGUAAAGCUCUGUUGUAAGUCAAGAACGGGUGUGAGAGUGGAAAGUUCACACUGUGACGGUAGCUUACCAGAAAGGGACGGCUAACUACGUG
rnacentral:rRNA from 1 species